rnacentral:lncRNA from 1 species
GAACCCUCGCCAUCGUCCACGGCUUCACCGGCGAGACCAGCUGGUUCGUCCAGCUCACCGCCGUCCACUUCGCCAAGUCUGGCUUCGUCGUCUGCGCCAUUGAUCAUCAGGGUCACGGCUUCUCCGAUGGCCUCGCCGCCCACAUCCCCGACAUCAACCCCGUCGUCGACGACUGCAUCUCCUUCUUCGACUCAUUCCGAGCCAAUCACGCGCCGAAGAACCGCCCCUCGUUCCUCUACGCCGAGUCCCUCGGUGGCGCCAUCGCACUCCUCAUGACUUUCCGGCAGGGAAGCGGCGCGUGGGAUGGCCUCAUCCUCAAUGGCGCCAUGUGCGGGAUCAGCCCCAAGUUUAAGCCGCCGUGGCCGCUCGAGCACCUGCUAUUUCUCGUCGCCGCGGUGAUACCGACGUGGCGGGUUGUCCCCACCCGCGGAUCGAUUACGGACGUGUCGUUCAAGGAGGAGUGGAAGCGGAAGCUGGCGCUGGCGAACCCGAGGAGGCCGGUGGCGAGGCCUCGCGCAUCGACGGCUCUUGAGCUGCUGAGAGUGUGUAAGGAGCUGCAGGGGAGAUUCGAGGAGAUGGAGGUGCCGG